rnacentral:rRNA from 1 species
GACGAACGCUGGCGGCGUGCCUAAUACAUGCAAGUCGAGCGAAUGGAUGGGAGCUUGCUCCCUGAAGUUAGCGGCGGACGGGUGAGUAACACGUGGGCAACCUGCCUAUAAGACUGGGAUAACUUCGGGAAACCGGAGCUAAUACCGGAUAGUUCCUUUCCUCUCAUGAGGAAAAGGGGAAAGAUGGUUUCGGCUAUCACUUAUAGAUGGGCCCGCGGCGCAUUAGCUAGUUGGUGAGGUAACGGCUCACCAAGGCGACGAUGCGUAGCCGACCUGAGAGGGUGAUCGGCCACACUGGGACUGAGACACGGCUCAGACUCCUACGGGAGGCAGCAGUAGGGAAUCUUCCGCAACGGACGAAAGUCUGACGGAGCAACGCCGCGUGAACGAAGAAGGCCUUCGGGUCGUAAAGUUCUGUUGUUAGGGAAGAACAAGUAUGAGAGUAACUGCUCGUACCUUGACGGUACCUAACCAGAAAGCCACGGCUAACUACGUGCCAGCAGCCGCCGUAAUAC